GUAAAGGAUUGGCACUCAAUGAUGGUUUGCAGCGAGUUCUUCGGAGACAUGAUGAUAUUGCCAAUGGAACCUCAACAAUUACAGUACAGCCCAGAGAAACUCCUAUUGCACCCCUCAUGAAUGUGAAUCAUGAGGAUGAUGAGUCAGAAGAUGAUUUCUCUCAUUUAGCACGGAGGUAAUGCUUGGUCAUUUUGCUGCUAUACUGUUCCUUCUCCCCUUUUCCUUGUCCGUACCAGUAGUAUUAGUGUUAGUCUUGCAUUUUCUUAUUUUUUUUUAUUUCUAUUACUACCUGCUGUUUCUUUCGCUUCGGUUUUCUUGUUAUCUUGCUGGUGUUACUGUCUAUCGGUAACAACUUCUCUACCUUCUCAAGGUGGGUAAGGUCUGCGUAUACACUAGCUUUUCCAGAUCCCACUUUUGGGAUUACACUGGGUUUGUUGUUGCUGUACUGUUCCUUCCCCCACCCCGCAGAGUAAUUGUCUUCAGUUGUAUAAUUAUGGUUUUGCCAGGCCUUUUCUGUUCUUACUGCAAAUAUUGCCACUUUAGAAUACGUGAUGUAGUAAAAGCAUUUUGAUUAGAUCUUUGGAUGGUCAUUGAUAUGGGAAUAUAAAUCAACUGCCUUUAUUCUCCAUCAAGGUGAAGUUGGAUUUCAUUUUCUGGGAAGAACUUCAUGUCAAAUUAUUCCUAGAGAUCAUUUUUGCUUUAGUUCUCCCAGCUGGUUAGCACACUUCAACAUUUAGCCUGUUUGGCAUGCAUCCGAGGUAACCUACUUUUAGAUUUAUUAUAGGUUAUCAAAAAAGGAUUUAUUAUAAAGCAGCAGUCGAUAGUUAAUUCCAUUGUUGCUAUUUAAAAGAGACCAGAAUUAUGAUACCAUUUCAAAACUGGGGUUUCACCAAACUAUUAGCUUCGCCUUUUGGUAUACAUUGAAAAUAAUCGACUUUAGCCAACCCUAUGUGAAAAAAGUCAACAAACUUCAUAGGUUGAAGGUAAGGCGUGUUUGUCUGAUUAAGCUCUUCAUUUCUAAGGGGAUUUUAGUUAGAUUACAGAGCAAUCAAAGAAUAUGAGACCACGACCACAUCAAAAUUUUGGUAGCAAUAGUGAAGAAAAACCGUAGAGCUGAUCAUAACUAAUUUUGGUUGAGGUUUAGUUGAUUGAUUUAUGGUGAGCAGAAAAAAAAUAGUCCUUCUAAUAUUAUUUGUUUUGUCUUUCAGUAUAAAUUGAUAUUAACAGUGCUACAGGGAUUUGUCUGUGUAAUGUCAAAGUCUUUUGCUUUUACCACUAUGUAAAAGAUUUUUUUUGUGUAACAUCAGAACUUUUCGCUUUUACCAAUAGUGUAAUUUUUGCAUUAUAGCAUUUCUUUCUUGUUAUGAUUCGUUUGCUUGAUUGCGAGUCUCUGCAUAAUGAUGAAUGGAUAUCCAAUAGGUGAAUGUAGCUUAGUACAAGAUCACUUUCUUCAACAAUUUAAGGCACUUCCUUAGGAGUUGGGAGUGAUUUCUUGGGCUUAAGUACAUUGUUCCAAAACUUUCCCAAGUCCUCCUUAAACUCUUGUUGGAACUCUUCCUAUCUUGGCCUUGCAGUUUCCGUGAGUUUCCAGGUAAUAGUGGUGCAAUUUCCUCUUCUCAGUUUUCUUUUUUUUCUUCUUCUGAAAAAUUGCGAAACUCCAGCAUUUUAUCCAUUCACUGUGAGUUCCACAACGUUGGGACUUGUUAUUGAGAUUCUGUUUAGUACAGAAGAAUGGCUUAGAAACAAACAAGUGCAUUUGAGCUUAGUGUGAAAUGCCACCAUGUUAUCCUGGUUAAAUCCAAGACUGUAUGCCUUGCUGGUUGGAUCUCUCUAUAGUUAUCUAAUCUCUUUCUUUUUCCUACCUCCCUUAUGAAGGGAUUCCCUAGGAUUUGAUUACAGUUAGAGUUACUAUGGAACUUUGCCAAGUACAGAACAAUGGUUUAAAGCAAACUAGUGUUGCAGAGCCAUUGGAGUUGUGGCUCUAAAUCCUGCAUUUCUCAUGUGCAUGAGUUGGAUCGCUAGGGAAACCAGCUUCUCUAUUCUUCUUUAGAAUUUUCUGAAAUCAUAUUUUUGUACCAAUAUGUACUUGACCUAAUUUAUAUUGCAAUAAGCCAUCAGCACUUCAAAGAUUUUGACACUUAGAAUCCAAAAACAUUAUAUGGGUGAGUGAUACGAUAAGCCGGAACUACAUUUCAUCAGUGUACUCAAAGCACUCAAACAAGUAAGCUUCUGAUUCUUGGUUUUCCACCAGCAUAAACAUUUGCAGUUGAUUAAUAGGAAGUUUGGGAGAUAAAAAAGAGGAAACGAUGAGUUUCAUUUCCUGUUUAUGGUUUUCAAUGGAAUAAUGGGUUGAUGAUUAUAUUACCAUCUGAAGUUCCAGGGGCAAAGGCCUUGUGGGGAAAAUUUUGGGAUACAAGAGUUCGUCGUACCUAUUUCUUGAAUCUUUAAUUUCUUUUCUCGACCUAGAUUUCCUACUUCUGCAUCUGGUUGUGUGACGAUAACUUCAUAAUGUUGUCAAAUUCUGAGUAGAAUGUUUCCUGGGUUCUCAAGGGCAAGAGCUUGGCAGAUUGAUAUUGUGCCUGUCAUGCUUAAAAGAUGUGCAGUCUAGUUUUGCUGUAAAUCCACUUUAUUCAUCUGUGUGCUGUCAUGUGGACAAUUCUAUUUCUAGACUAAGAAUCCUCAUAGAGUGAGAAUUUUUGUGCACCUGAGCAUGAAAUUGUACUUCCCUUAGUAGAUAUAAUUGGCAAUGGUUUGUCCCUUCAGGGACAUCCAUUAAAAUUGGUACGAUAAAGAGAAGAUGUAAGUGCCAAUUAUUUUUAUAUCCAUCAUAGAUAUAGGUUUGUGCUUUAAUUUACUGAAGGAUUUCAAAAAGAGCAGGAACAUUUGGUUGUGUUUUAUCAAAUCUCUACUGGUAUCCUCUUGGUGGUGUUGUCCCUGGCUUUGCUCGUCCUUUUCUUGAUGUGUUUUUACUGUCACUCGUGUUGCAGAUCUUCAAAGGAUCCAUCGCAGGCACAGGGGCGGAAGACUGUUGAUGUAAAGAGUGAACCUAUGCGAAUUACCCCUACUCUUGCUCCCCCACCUUCAUCAAGGAGACCAGUUUCUACUGAUGCGGGAAUGGUUGAUUAUCUCAGUGGUGAAAGGUUUGAAUCUGAAAGAUCUUUUGGAACAGCAGGAUCCUCACCCAUUGCUGUCUCAACUAAUUCCCUCCCCCACCUUCAUCAAGGAGGCCAGUUUCUACUGAUGCGGGAAUGGUUGAUUAUCUCAGUGGUGAAAGGUUUGAAUCUGAAAGAUCUUUUGGAACAGCAGGAUCCUCACCUAUUGCUGUCUCAACUAAUUCAAACAAUGUGAGCUCCAUCCCGCGAUCAAGUCCCCCUUCGGAUGAUUUGCUAAACCCAACAGCUGAUGAUGAUUUCGUGAACCCCACUGCAUCCUUGUUUACUGGAAAAAGCAACAACGGCGAAUCUGAUACAAAAGCCAAAUCUGCUGAUCACUUGCCUCCAGCACCUUGGGAUGCUCCUCCUACCACACUCCCUCCACCACCAGCCAGAUAUAAUCAGAGACAGCAGUACUUUGAGAAAAAUGUUUUUGGUGGUGGAUCGAGUUCUUAUGAUAGCGUAGUUGGACAAACA
rnacentral:lncRNA from 1 species